AAUUGUCAAUGGCGCUUCCCUAAACUGUAAACACAAGCCUUAUCCCCAUUUUCCCUCUGCCCUCUCGACGACAAUGGCGACGUUUACCGGUCUCUCCCUCCCUCCUAAAACCCUAACCCCUUCCUCCGCUUCGCGCCCGUCUUUUGCGGCGGCGCUCGCUCCCUCGCCGGCCCUCCGUUUCGGCUCCGGCGAGUCCGGAGUCUGGAGGCACCGCCGGGAGCUGCGGAGCGAGCCUCGCCGUCGGAGGUCGCUCGUCCUCGCGGCCGUCGAUGGGGAGUACUCGUCGAGGAGGAGCAGCAGCAGCGAGCCGAGGGAGACGAUCAUGCUCCCCGGGUGCGAUUACAAUCACUGGCUCAUCGUCAUGGAGUUCCCCAAGGACCCUGCCCCCACCCGGGAGCAGAUGAUCGACACUUACCUCAAUACUCUCGCCACUGUGCUCGGAAGCAUUGAGGAGGCCAAGAAGAAUAUGUAUGCAUUUAGUACCACAACCUAUACCGGGUUUCAGUGUACCGUGGAUGAAGCCACGUCUGAGAAAUUCAAAGGUCUGCCUGGGGUUCUGUGGGUACUCCCUGAUUCAUACAUAGAUGUGAAGAACAAGGAUUACGGAGGGGAUAAGUACAUUAAUGGAGAGAUCAUUCCUUGCCAAUAUCCCACUUACCAGCCAAAGCCUCGACAUAACCCUAGAAGCAAGAGUAAGAGGUAUGAAAGGCAGAGAGAUGGGCCACCACGUCAAAGGCCAAGACCUAAGCAGGAGGCAACCAGCACAGAGUCAUCAUCCGCAUGAGGUAAUGGAGCUUAUCAGACGUUGUCCCCAUGUUCAUUAAAUGACUUGGCGUGCAUGAAGUUUUUGAUUUCCAAUGGAUGGCCCGGCUAUAAUUUGUUAUGCAUCUUUCGUAGUCUUGAGCUGAUAAAAGAUGAUGUUCCAUCUGUGUAGCCUCGUACUAGAAGAUCCUUUUUGUGGAGCAAGUAUUGACAGAUGCUUGCUUUGCGAACUUAGAAGACAGUAGAAUGGUCCCAUCUAAUGAACAUGGCAUUUUGUUCUUGUGUUCCUCCUGUUUAGUGUGCACAGAGAUGGAAUGUCUUGUUAUUUCC